UACAGAGGUCGCAAGCGUUGUUCGGAUUCAUUGGGCGUAAAGGGUGCGUAGGCGGCGCGGUAAGUCGGGUGUGAAAUCUCGGGGCUUAACUCCGAAACUGCAUUCGAUACUGCCGUGCUUGAGGACUGGAGAGGAGACUGGAAUUUACGGUGUAGCGGUGAAAUGCGCAGAUACCGGGAAGAACACCCGUGGCGAAGGCGGCUCUCUGGGCAACAACUGACGCUGAGGAGCGAAAGCGUGGGGAGCGAACAGG
rnacentral:rRNA from 1 species